UCUUCUUAAGAAGUGAUAUCUUUUCUUUAAAAUAAAAGUAAAAACUUUGAAAUCUAAAGUAAAGUGUUUAAUUCAAACAUACUUUUUGUCUGGUCUGGGUGUCAACUUUGAAAUUAGUCUCAUGAAAACAAAAGUUUUUAAACUUUUAUUUUCAAAACAAACAAUGUUUGAAAAAACGCGCCGUGACAGAUUACCAUGAAACAAAAAGAAGUUAUGCGAUUGGUUCUGUGGUGAUUGUUUGGAGUUGUAGUCACUCGUUAUAGAUUUAAUGGCAGUGAUUUAUGAGAUGUUGAGCCAGAACAAUCAAAACUGGCUUUGAUACCCCACCAUUUGCGAUAAUGGCCUUGGAAAUAUCACUUCAUGGAGUUAUUUCCUGUUUGGCGGAACACGGAACACAUCAGAUGAGUUAUGACGCCAUUUGGAACCCCAAAGGAACAGUAUCUGAUAAACUCGACUAAGCCGUUGGGAGCAGGUGCCGUCGAAUCAACAUGAAAGGAUGGAUCAAGCGAUAUACCUAUCGCUAUCACCGCCGGAUCGAG